CAGUCCCACUAUACGCCAUGUAGGCGCUUGGGGGAGCGAAGGUUUAGCUCCUACUCAUUCUUGACCUCGGCAGCAAUUUUGUUAUGAAUCUUAAUUUGCAGGGAUAACUUACAACAUUAUGAGACGUGUUUGGUAAUUCAUGGUAUUGUUUAAAAUGCAAAUUACUGAAAGGAUGCGAUGCCUGUGGUUUAGCAUUUCACCGCUACGUUUCCAUUGCCAUGACAAUGUUAACACUCGGGGCCGGAAUUUAUGCGUAUGAAGGUUGUGUUUCAUUUCAAGCUACAAUUCUGUUUUGAUUAAUGCUUUUCUUGCUGUUUUUUCAUGGGACGAGAAUAAGUGGUUUCUCUUCCCUGUUAAGUACACUGACGUUUCAGCCUCACAGACAGAAUAGUGCGUAGUAAAUUUGUUAUUAGAAUUUUAAAAGAUGACUAGCAUUAUUCAUUCAUCAGAAGGAGAGUCUGGAUGUGACCAGCCGAUUAUUUCUAAAGCACUGGAGAACAUGACAGUUGCAGCAGGUCUGCCUGUUGCAGGGAGCUUUGUUACAGAAAUCCAAAGCAUGAUGCAUGGGUUUGGAGAUGCCCGAAGUCCAUUACCAGAGUCUGCGAGCCUUAUAGAGAGUAUCGUUCAGCAACAGCAGAGGGCAGUCAUCAGUCAAGCUGCAGAUAUGGCUACAAUGCGUGGUUCCAAAUGCAUUGGUCCAGAAGACAUCUUGUUCCUCCUGAGGAAGGAUCGGAUUAAAAUGCACAGGCUGAUGAAGUACCUAGCUGUGAAGGACAUGAAGAAGAAUAUUAACAGUGUUCUUUUGGAAUCAUCACUGGAUGGGGACCUGAUGCUGGAGACACCUCGUGGUUCAGGAAAAAAACAAACUAAUCUGUGCAUGGACUUUCUGCGGUCGAUCGACCAGACCGGUGAGCUCACAGAUACAUGCACCUUGCCAGUUGACAUGGUCAAGCAUGAACGGAAUGUUCGUGCUGAGCGUUCAUCACGUGUGCUGGAUGAAACCAGGUAUCUGGAAUUUGUGAAUGCACGUAGAGCUUCAUUUGUCAGCCUGAAGUCGGCGUCAAAGUUUCGUGAGUUGCUGCAAACAAGUUCAGAUGGCAACUUUGAAGCUCUAAAACUUAGCGGCGUGACUUACGACUUACUGGGUUAUAUGGCUUAUGAAACAGUGGCGCAGAUUGUGGACUUGGCACUGCUUGUGAGACGCGACAGUUUGACACGUCCGGGCAUGCCAUUUAGCCGGUACAUACCAGGGGCAGGAUAUUCAACGAGCCAUACUCUGGACUCCCAACAGAUAGAGUUUGCUGAUCCACUAACCCCAGCUGAGAUCAGGGAGGCACUGCGACGUUACUGCAGCUGCUACAUCGGACCUGGUGCUGUGUUUACGUGCAGUGCUGCGUCACAUGCGCGCACACGUUUGUUAAGUUGUUGAUAGGAGUCACAUGAGCUGCGGCACAGUGUACUAAUGUUAAGUUAGGUUUAUUCCUAGGUAAUUUGAUGGAUCUCAGAGUAUUCUUUGUUUCGCAGAGGAGAAGAUGUAUUUAAUUUGUGAUUUAUGAAAAAUAUCAGAAUGAAUUAUGUAUACUCGUAAAUUAAAAGCUAAUUACAUACA